UACAGAGGGUGCAAGCGUUGUUCGGAAUUAUUGGGCGUAAAGGGCGCGUAGGCGGUGCGGUAAGUCUGUAGUGAAAUCUCUGGGCUCAACUCAGAGUCUGCUAUAGAAACUGCCGUGCUUGAGUGUGGGAGAGGUGAGUGGAAUUCCCGGUGUAGCGGUGAAAUGCGUAGAUAUCAGGAGGAACACCUGUGGCGAAAGCGGCGCACUGGACCACAACUGACGCUGAGGCGCGAAAGCUAGGGGAGCAAACAGG
rnacentral:rRNA from 1 species